GUGCAUCUAUUUGACAGUCCUGGAGCAGUUACUGUUGCUGCCAAGGUUCCAGUGCAGAUGCAAGAAAAAAGGGUCCUCGCGCUUUCUGUCUGUCUGAUUGUGGCAGCCAAGAUUGAAUGGGGGAAUACAGUG
ensembl:snoRNA small nucleolar RNA SNORA31